AGUGAACGUUGGCGGCGUGGAUUAGGCAUGCAAGUCGAGCGAGAACCGUAGCAAUACGGGGACAGCGGCGAAAGGGACAGUAAUGUGUAGGUACCUACCCCGAGGUCUGGGAUAGCUGCGGGAAACUGCAGGUAAUACCGGAUAAUGUCUUCGGACCAAAGGUGUGAUUCCACCUUGGGAGGGGCCUGCAUCCUAUUAGCUAGUUGGCGGGGUAAUGGCCCACCAAGGCAACGAUGGGUAGCGGGUGUGAGAGCACGACCCGCGUCAUUGGGACUGAGAUACUGCCCAGACACCUACGGGUGGCUGCAGUCGAGGAUCUUCGGCAAUGGGCGAAAGCCUGACCGAGCGACGCCGCGUGCGGGAUGAAGGCCUUCGGGUUGUAAACCGCUGUCGUAGAGGAGGAAGUGCAGGGGGGUUCUCCCUUCUGUUUGACCUAUUCUAGGAGGAAGGACGGGCUAAGUUCGUGCCAGCCGCCGCCGUAA
rnacentral:rRNA from 1 species